rnacentral:ncRNA from 1 species
GAACCGUGGCGAUUUGUAACCGGAUUGCGGGCCACGUUAAACAAUCCCGCUAAAGAGGUCAGGAUG